rnacentral:lncRNA from 1 species
AGUACUCCAGCAGCAGCCAGAGGACCCACGCAGCUGUCCGGAGCCUCGUCUCCGUAGCUUCACGAGGUGGGACUGCUCCCCUAAGUGGGUGAACUCCACCGUCGGUUGAAUUCCUCGCUGUCCUGGUUGGAACGGAGCGCAGCAGGAAGGGAGCAGGCCGCGGUUAUGUCUCUUGUUUAUCUCAAGGUGGCACCAAACUGGGAAUUCUGAGCCGAUGUUGUUCUUGCUGACGGUAAAGUUCAGUCCACUUACGGAUUUGAUGACUUUAGCAUGAGCUGCUUUGCAUCUGUGAUCUGUGUUUGUUCUCAUUAAUCACGAGGAAUGAAAAUCCACUUCAAGCUGCAAUGUUGAGGCAAUUAAAGGUGAAUUUAUGAGUGGAGCGUAAUUUACAACAGAACGUGUGCAACUGCAGUAGACUGAGCUGACCCUGCUUUAUUGUGAGACUUUUAAUCUUGAAAUAUUUCUCCCAAAGUAAAACCAUAUGUUGGGUUAAUAUCAGUGCUAACCUUAAUGUUCCCAGACGUUCAGUGCCAGUAGAUUUAAUGAUGCUUGCUGUAGGAAUAAAGCAGCUUCCUUAGGAAUCCUCCUGGGAUGG